AUGGCCAGAAGUGGCGCUGUGGCUCAAGUGGCUAAGUGCUAGCCUUGAGCAAAAAGAAGCCAGGGACAGUGCUCAGGCCCUGACCUCAAGCCCCAGAACUGGCCAAAAAAAAAAAAAAAAAGGCAAAAUGAUACAAAUUCUUAAAUCAAAUCUGGUUGUAAAACUUUAUCAACCUUUUGAAUAUUUAGACUUUAAAGGAGUAUCUAAAUAGUAAUUCCUUGAACCUCUGCAACUCAA